AAAAAAUAUUUAAUAAAAGAAAGAAAGACCCAUCAGAGAGGAAGGAGGAGAGUUAAGAGAGAAGAGACUCACACAAAGAAAAAGGGAAGCAUUGUAACAUGAACAACAGUGUUUGAUGCUGCAGGUGGAGCAGAGUUUUUCCCAGCUUUGGAAAAAGUCCAACUCCUUUGGGUGCUAAAUUCAGAUGGAUGAGACUCUGAGAGUCAAGAAGGGGAUAAAUACUGAAGAGCUGUCACCAGACCACAGAACCAUGUGUGAACCCAGCCUUUACCCUCCACUCCAUCUCCCGCAGAGCUUGUGCUAUCACAGUAGUAAGCUUCAUUCACUGACCACAUAUUUAGUAGUGAGAAAUGGAGUAUUUCCAGUCAUAUCAGUAAGCAAGGAUGUCACAGUCAUCAGUGAUUCCAGCCCUCCAAU
ensembl:lncRNA